GACGAACGCUGGCGGCGUGCCUAAUACAUGCAAGUAGAACGCUGAAGAGAGGAGCUUGCUCUUCUUGGAUGAGUUGCGAACGGGUGAGUAACGCGUAGGUAACCUGCCUGGUAGCGGGGGAUAACUAUUGGAAACGAUAGCUAAUACCGCAUAAAAUUGAUUAUUGCAUGAUAAUUAAUUGAAAGAUGCAACUGCAUCACUACCAGAUGGACCUGCGUUGUAUUAGCUAGUUGGUGAGGUAACGGCUCACCAAGGCGACGAUACAUAGCCGACCUGAGAGGGUGAUCGGCCACACUGGGACUGAGACACGGCCCAGACUCCUACGGGAGGCAGCAGUAGGGAAUCUUCGGCAAUGGGGGGAACCCUGACCGAGCAACGCCGCGUGAGUGAAGAAGGUUUUCGGAUCGUAAAGCUCUGUUGUAAGAGAAGAACGGGUGUGAGAGUGGAAAGUUCACACUGUGACGGUAUCUUACCAGAAAGGGACGGCUAACUACGUGCCAGCAGCCGCGGUAAUACGUAGGUCCCGAGCGUUGUCCGGAUUUAUUGGGCGUAAAGCGAGCGCAGGCGGUUAGAUAAGUCUGAAGUUAAAGGCUGUGGCUUAACCAUAGUAUGCUUUGGAAACUGUUUAACUUGAGUGCAGAAGGGGAGAGUGGAAUUCCAUGUGUAGCGGUGAAAUGCGUAGAUAUAUGGAGGAACACCGGUGGCGAAAGCGGCUCUCUGGUCUGUAACUGACGCUGAGGCUCGAAAGCGUGGGGAGCAAACAGGAUUAGAUACCCUGGUAGUCCACGCCGUAAACGAUGAGUGCUAGGUGUUAGGCCCUUUCCGGGGCUUAGUGCCGCAGCUAACGCAUUAAGCACUCCGCCUGGGGAGUACGACCGCAAGGUUGAAACUCAAAGGAAUUGACGGGGGCCCGCACAAGCGGUGGAGCAUGUGGUUUAAUUCGAAGCAACGCGAAGAACCUUACCAGGUCUUGACAUCCCUCUGACCGCUCUAGAGAUAGAGUUUUCCUUCGGGACAGAGGUGACAGGUGGUGCAUGGUUGUCGUCAGCUCGUGUCGUGAGAUGUUGGGUUAGGUCCCGCAACGAGCGCAACCCCUAUUGUUAGUUGCCAUCAUUCAGUUGGGCACUCUAGCGAGACUGCCGGUAAUAAACCGGAGGAAGGUGGGGAUGACGUCAAAUCAUCAUGCCCCUUAUGACCUGGGCUACACACGUGCUACAAUGGCUGGUACAACGAGUCGCAAGCCGGUGACGGCAAGCUAAUCUCUGAAAGCCAGUCUCAGUUCGGAUUGUAGGCUGCAACUCGCCUACAUGAAGUCGGAAUCGCUAGUAAUCGCGGAUCAGCACGCCGCGGUGAAUACGUUCCCGGGCCU
rnacentral:rRNA from 1 species